CCUACGGGUGGCUGCAGUGAGGAAUAUUGGUCAAUGGACGAGAGUCUGAACCAGCCAAGUAGCGUGAAGGAUGACUGCCCUAUGGGUUGUAAACUUCUUUUAUAUGGGAAUAAAAUGUUCCACGUGUGGGAUUUUGUAUGUACCAUAUGAAUAAGGAUCGGCUAACUACGUGCCAGCAGCCGCGGUAAUACGGAGGAUCCGAGCGUUAUCCGGAUUUAUUGGGUUUAAAGGGAGCGUAGGGGGACUGUUAAGUCAGUUGUGAAAGUUUGCGGCUCAACCGUAAAAUUGCAGUUGAAACUGGCAGUCUUGAGUACAGUAGAGGUGGGCGGAAUUCGUGGUGUAGCGGUGAAAUGCUUAGAUAUCACGAAGAACUCCGAUUGCGAAGGCAGUUCACUGGACUGCAACUGACACUGAGGCUCGAAAGUGUGGGUAUCAAACAGGAUUAGAUACCCCAGUAGUC
rnacentral:rRNA from 1 species